ACGGCCAUACUACAUUGAAAACACCGGUUCUCGUCCGAUCACCGAAGUUAAGUAACGUCGGGCCCGGUCAGUACUUGGGAGGGUGACCACCUGGGAACACCGGAUGUAGGCUAAUA
rnacentral:rRNA from 1 species